rfam:Gossypium hirsutum cultivar TM-1 chromosome 19, whole genome shotgun sequence
UAUUAAAAAUUUUACUCAUUUCUACUGUUAAAAACUGGCACGGUAGACUAAAUAACCUAAUAGUUACACACGUAGCAUGUCAUGUGUAUCUCAUGUUGACGAAUAAAAACUAAUUUUUAACAAUAAAAAUAGAUAAAAUUUUUAACG